rnacentral:lncRNA from 1 species
UUUCUAGGGCCACUUCCUGGCAGCAUACAGAGGUUCCCAGGCUAGGGGUUGAAUCGGAGCUGUAGCCGCAGGUCUACGCCACAGCCACGGCAACAUGGGAUCCGAGCCUCGUCUUUGACCUACACCACAGCUCACGGCAACGCCAGAUCCUUAACCCACUGAGCAAGGGCAGGGAUCGAACCCACAACCUCAUGGUUCCUAGUCGGAUUCGUUAACCACUGCGCCACGAUGGGAAGUCCUUAUUCCAUUUUGUAGGUGGGGAAUAGACUCAAACUUAAUUGCUCAAAUUCACCUAUACUUGGUAAGGACCAGACUCAGGAUUUGAAACAACAGCAUUAAGGACUUUAAAGUUCUGAGUGGAAUUCUGAAAAGGGAGGCUGUAAAGGUGCAGGUAGCCCAGAGCCCGAGUCUUACCAGGGGUCAGGGGCACCCAUUGGUCUUCUAGCCCAUUGCUUUUUUCUGCAACAAGUGAAUGCCUCUCUCUUUAAUUUUCAGAGUGUUGAACAAAAUUAUUCCUUUUUAUAUCCUGGAAGAAAAUAGGUGAGGAUUUACCAAUAAAGAAACUUGUAGAAAUUUCCUACUGUCAAAGAUGCAGACAUUUAAAAUUUACAGAAGGGUGACCUAAAUUACUUGAGCAUCUGAGAACUUUCUUUUCACUUCAGAUGGAACACUUGAUAAUUAUAUGUUUUUGAAGAAAAUAAUUUGGUUUAUAACCUCAGAAAUGUGUCUGAAGGUUAAGGAUUUUCCUUGUUUUGGAAUUGUGAUAUGUCAUUUAUAUGAAGGUAGUAAGAAUAGUUUCAAUGACAAAGAUGAGAAUCUGAGACAACUUAGAAAAAUUUAUAUAAAAGUUUAAAUUGCAUAAAACAAUAUUAUUUUGGUGAUAGACAGUUGUACUCUUUUUCUGGUUCUUUCCUCUCAAUUUGAUUCAUUAGAUUUUUUUAAAGCUCUUUUUUCAAUACUUUUCAUUCGUUUUUCUCCUUCCUUGAUUUUUUUCUGCUUCUUGUUUCUGAGUUAUGUUUUUGUUACAUCUCAGCACAUGGCAUGAUGUUUACAUCAAAUCCUCCAAACAUAUUUUAGAGAUUGUUAAUUGUGCUCUUAGUAAUGACGACUGUAGCAAGAACACGUACUCCUCAUAUAACCAGUUUACUCCUGUAAUUGGAAUAAAUUCUAUCAUGAAGUGUUUUCUAUUGAGAACAAUACAACUUUUAAACCCUCAAGAGCCCAUUUACUAGAGCUGUAAAUAAUAGAAUUUUAGAGUAAUAGAAUAUUAGCCAUGGAAGAGGAGUAAUUUUGCAUGGGAGAAAACAAAAGCCCAAGGAUCUUUGUGCAAAUUAGUUUCUUUCAUCAGCCAGUAAUCUGAGUUGUAAAACCUAAAGUAAAUGAUGUUUUUUCUUUCUUUCUUUCUUUUUUUUUGGCUGUGCCCACAGCAUGUGUAUGUUUCCAGGCCACGGAUAAACCCUUGCCACAGCAGAGACAACACAAGAUCUUGAGUGCUAGGUGUGCAUUAUAAUGCAUGCAAAGUUGGGAAUGCCUUUUAGACCCUCUUGUCCUUUAGUUUAUAAACAUGGAAUCACUAGUAAAGAAAGAAGAACAAAUUAAGCGUACAGCAUGUUUCUUCCAGGUACUUGGGCUCUUUGGCAUGAAGCCAGAUUACAAGUCAGCAGAAUUGUCUUAGAAAUGCCCUCAAAGUCAGUGAUAUUUUAUUCCUUGUUGCCUCUAGAGUGGACAUAAAUAAAAAGCAUAGAUCUUCGUUUUCCCUGCUAGAAUGUCCUUUAAAAGGUGAAUGAAAUCUUUGGCUCUUUUUGACUGUCUCUGUGUUGAAGAACAAGAAAACCAAGUCCAACCCCACCCACAUCCAUUGUCUUUGACAUGGUUAUAGGUUUCUGAUGAGGACAAGUCCACAAAGCAAAUUCAGAUCUAGGAUCUGACAGAGAAAAGAUUUAGUUCAAAGUGAGUUAUGAUUACUUCAAUAGAAAUAUAUUUUGAAAUGUGAUUUCUGAAAUGUGUCAUUUUAUGAUAUGCAAGUCUAGAAGGAAAUAUUAUUCUCCUUCCCCCAAAUAAGGUCAUAUUUCUUUUUUUUUAAAUUACAAAAAUAAUAGGUUGAUGCAGAAAAUCCAAGCAGAGUAUGUAGGGUAUUAAAAAAAUACUUAAAUGUAUUUAAAAAUAAAGUCAUCCUAAUACCCGAGAAAUAUUAACAUUUUGCUAAACAUUCCUCUUGUCAUCCCUCUAUGUAUUUAUUUGGCCCAUCUCUGUUGGUAUGUGUGUAUUUAUAUAAAUGACAUAAUAUUUUUUGUACUUUGUUUUUUACUCAACAAUCUGUUAUGGAGAUUUUCUUUCCUUUAAUAAGUAUCAAAAUUCCUUUUAACAGCUACAGAGCUGCCCAUUGUGUGGAUCUACCAGAAUUUAACUAAUCCCCAAGUAAUGGACAUUAGAUUGUUUCCAAUUUAUGAUUAUAAUAAGCAAGGGCUGAGUUAACAUUCAUAUUCAUGUAUCUUUAUCUGUAUCUGAAGAACUGGCCAGUAAAGUAGAUAAGUUCCUAAAAGUCUGCUCCAUGUCACUUGUUUGCUUUCCCAAAACUUUUCCUUCUAAAUUUUACCCAUUUUCAUUGCUACCAACAGCAUCAGAAACUAUGGAAGCGGAUCUUUCAGUUCAGUAACUUGAAAGUCUUUGAAUAUGCAGUAUUAAUAUACAUGAAUUUGGCAAAGGGUGUGAAAUGUUCUCACUGAAUAGACUGAAACAGAUGUGAUAUUAAUGAUUAGCAGGCAAAACAAGUCUUUCCAACUGUUUGCCAAGCUGUCAGAAAAAAUUUUCUUCUUCCUCCACACUGUUACAUGCAAUACUUUGUAUACACCUCUAUUGCAACAUAUCAUUUUGCCUUCUAUCUUAGGUGUUUUUCUAAUUAAAAUGUGAGCUCCUUGAAGGCAGGCUCUGUUUUGUAAGGGUGCUAGGAUCUGAUAAACUGUGUCUGUCCCUCAGUAAACUCUGUGGAUGGAUAAACAAGCACAACAUUUUCUAUUUGCUUCUUUCUCAUUUGGCGGCUUCCAUCUCCCUCUUUUCUUUUGGCUUUUGAAAGAGAAGAGUAAUAUUUGCCCAGGGCAAACAGACUUGGAGUUUGGGAGGCAGCAUUGUGUAAUCGAUGUUAAAUCAGCCUCCUUUAACUUUUGGCUUUCUGAUUUGUAGCUCUAUAACCCUGGGCAAAUUGUGAAACUCCUCUAAAUCCUAAUUUCCUUCUCUGUAAAAUGAAGAUAAUAGGUUCAACUUCAAAAAGUAGAGAUUAAAGGAGAUCAUGUUUUAAAACCUCUAGGAUGGUGCCUGGUGUAACACUUGGUAAAUAGUAGCUGUAAUUAUUAUUUCCUCAAAGGAACAGAUAUACUAAAACAAAACAAAACAAAACAAAAACCCUAUCUGUCAAACAAAAUAAGAUGUCAUUGGCUAUUUCGCCUUCCCCUCUAGUGGGCACACCAACUUCUAAACUGGAGGCAACCAGAAGCUAAACAUUAAUAGAGAUUAGGUCUGAGACUCUUAGCAAAAUCAGUCUGUCACAUGUCUGUAGAUAAAAAUUGGGGGUUUUAUUUUCAAAACUGAAAGAGGUGCUCAGAGUAUUGAAAUAAGAGAAGAAUAGGAUUGGGCCAUGUAGGAAUAACCAGAGAGUAUUUUAUUAGGUCUCUUGCCUAAAGUACCACAUUAUCCAACUACUGGGAAUUUUUUUUUUUUUUUAAUGUUAGAGUUGAACUAUCGUGAUCUUUGUUCUUUCCUAACCAGCAAAUGACCUGUUGUAAUGACAACCUUUGGUUUUCAGCAGGCUUGCCUAGUUACUAUACUUGAGCAUAUAUGCCUGAGCUAAUUUUCCAUUUAACUGCUGAGGCUUUAAAAUGUGGAAACGCCUCGUGGGCCUCUUCAUUAAAGUGUUGGCCUGGUUUCUGCUGCUGGAGACAGCUGAGAAAAAUUCAGCAUGUGUCAUAUUUUCAAGACUUUCUUCCCUCCACCUAAAUUUCUUGUAUAUUAAGAUGGGUGUAAACAAUGAGUGCUCUUCUAUAAAUCAGUGGCAACAAAGAUGGCAACAUCUUCUGCACAUAGUGAGUGUUGCAAUUUUGGGUCAGAGACAACUCCCUUUGAAAAGGCAGAAUUAAAAAAAAAAAAAAAAAGAUGAGCAAAAUAUAUACUUCAGGAGACCAAAUGGAAUAUCCUCUUCUGUGGAUGCAGAGAUACACUCUCCCUCUUCCCCUAAGGAAGCCAGAUCCUGCAUCAUUUUUUUCUGCUCACGACUCAGCAGAAACACAAUGCUUCAUUUUAUAGAGGCUGAUUACAACACAAUGACAGCACUAUAAUUUCCUUCAGGGUGAAAUACUUCACUUGGCUUUAGGCCAGCUGAGCUCAGUGUCACUUAGCACUUCUGCAACUUCUGACACAGGCAAAUACCUUCACGUGGGUGCAUGCUGUAUUCCUUUAGGAAGCAUUUUUUAAAACAUUGUCACAGCAACUCAUUCGAAUCAGCAGUUGGGGUUUUGCACGUGACCAGAUUUCUUUUCCCUGAUGCGGACAUUGGAAUAGCCCAUAAACCACUGAAAGUGACUGUGCCACCCACUUCUUCUGAGGCCAAAGCGGUCAUGAAAUGAGUUUGGUGUGCAGAGGACCUUUUGGUUCUUUCGUCAGAGGAAACCUAUAAUUGUAAAAUUCCUCCUUGGUUCCAUCGUUCACAUAGACCUAAGGAGUGUUCCCUUGUCUUUUUCUGAUUAUGUGGGAUGUGGUCAGUCUUGAUGUUGUGUUGAAGAAGUUAUAGACAGUUAAGUAAACAUCUUAAGGAAAAAGCUAAGAUCUAAAGCUAGGAACACUUCACAUAUUUGUCUAUUAAGAAAAAAAAGAUACUCCCCCCCUCCCCCGACAAAAAAAAGCCUCUUUCCUACCCCACCCCCAACACCUGUCUCCUUGUUAUCACUGUGACUUUGCCCCAGGACACUGUCUCUACAUAAAAGUUGGGUAAUUCUUACUUCCUGAACGGGACCUACCUAACUGCUGGCACGUAAUAGUCAUCUCCCACAUGGACAGGCCCAGUGGCUGCUGUGUGACGGGAGGGGACAUAUGAGAAGGGUGAGGGAAGGACAGCUGUGGAGCAGGUCUUUGAUCCAACAGCAAAGCUAAGACCAGCCAAUUAGACAUCACAUUCUCCUUUGGCAAUCUGACCUGACAAGCGUGCCACAACUACUUCCAAAGACUUCCCUCUUUUUGGCUUAGAUUGGGGGUGGGAUGAGGAUAGAAAAUGAGAAGUCCAAAGGGGAAAAUGACGUAUUUGUUUCUUCACCUAUUUAUUGACUCCAAACAACAAACACUUACUACAUGGUCUUUAGGGGAUCAGGUGCUGUGCUCAGUGUUUCACAUGCAAUUUCUCUUAAUUCUCACAAUCCCAUCAAGGAGAUGAGUUUCAAUCUUCAUUUAGCAAUGGAGAAAACUAAGCCUUUGGAGAGGUUGAGAAACUUGCCCAAGGUCACACAGAUAAGAAGCAAAGCUGGGACAGUAUCCUGCUCUGGGGACAAGCCUGUGCUCUUCACCACUGUGCUACACUGCCUCCCUGUGUUAGAACAUCUUUAAUCUUUUCUCCCCAGGAUGGAGGAAGCUAAGCAGAAAAGAAACCUGUUAAUUGGUAGAUGUUUGGAAGGAUGAUUUCUUUGUCAUUAUAUUGAUGCUAUAGUAUUUAUAGUAGAGUAUGUCGAAUUGUUACGUUUAUAUGAAACAGCGAGGAAACUUAAAGAGGCUUGAACAAAGUAAUUCAAGCUGUUUGAUUCUAACAUGUGAUUAUAAUGAUCUCUUUCUGUUGGCCUCUGUCUGUCUGGCUUUCUGAAGUGAUCUUUUGUUUUGCAGGAACAGUUGUUACUGAGCAAUACCAGCUGCAAGGGAACAAUUCCUGACAUUACCUCCUCCCUGCUCUCCUCUUUCUUCCCUCCCCACAACCUCCGGUCCUGGCAAGUGCUAUUAUUUUGAAUGGAUAUGAUUGGCAGGGACGGGAAGCUCUCACAUUUAUUUCUGUGAUACAACUUAUUGAAGCAAAAGCUUACUCCAAAAGAGGC